GUAGUCUCUGACAGUCGCCGCCCCGGUGCGAACCAUGCAGCGAAACGAAAUCCAGUGCCGGUCCUGACUAAAUAAUGUGAGACACCAUAAACAGCAGACAGGAGAGAUAAACAAGAACUGUGGCUGUGAGAACACUUUCUCUCGCCUACCUGGAAGUGAGUGUUUAGCGGUUACACCCGCCAUGACUGUUUGCGUGGCACCACUCUGGAAUCGUUUACUAACUCGCAGUGACAGGCUGUGUGGCCUGAUUUAGGUUGACAGCUCGGUACCCGGGAUUGCAUCUCUCCUUCUUCCAAUCCUUGAACCUUAGUGACAAUGUGCAGUGCUAGCUUUACACUCACAGCGCAUGUCACGGCAGCAACUUCCGGUAAACUGUUCUGGUACUUUGGACAAACGACAAACAAAGACUAGAGGAGGUGGAGGCGAGUGGAUGCCAUCCUGUAACAGGAACCUGCCAUUGAGUGUUGCAGCCCACUUCAAGCUGAUGUCCCCCUGAUGCUGGGAGUAAAGACUCUGAAGUCGGAGGAAAUGGAGGAAAGCAGACUUAAUCUCCGCUGGCAUUUCGGGAGUAAAGACGACUGCGUCCCCAAGAUGCGUACACUUCGUCCACACAUUAUUUAUGGAUUUUUUUAGUUUAGCUUCCCCCCCUCUUCCAUCCCACAGAGACAUCAUUUUGGCAUUCUAUGUCAGGGAUUCUUGUAUAGAACUAUUUCGCAACAAGUCAAUGACAUUUUCCAGACCACAGCUUCAAACGAUGGAGGACCAUUAGGUUCUGCAAGUCGUCCAUUUUUUUUAUAAAUCUGUGGUUGGGAGAGUGGUGGUUGGCAAGCGGGCACUUCCUGAAUAUCGAUAUUAUAGAUAUGCAUGAGACAACAGCAGAAACUUGCCCAACGACCUGGGCGGGUGCACGACGACUGCAGGACCAGCCUGAGUCUGCGCCCGCGUGGAAUCGACCCUCGGUGCCAGUAAAUUGACAGGUGACACAUUGUCCUGCCAGACUUACUGCCAGACCUCGGUGUCGCAACCAGCUGUUUCCUCGCUGGCAACACUGCAGCGACAUGUCCGUGGUCGCCGGCGCUGGUGGUCAACGUGGCGUUGGACAUCGUCACCCGCUCGUCAGCAUACAUGACCUGGCGUGAGGCGGGGUCAGGCGCGGGUCGGGUGUGUGUGAAGAACAGUCUUCAUUCAUCUUUCAUGGAGCACCUACGUGUGCACGCACUGCUGCUGCCCACCUGAUCACCCGAUGAGUGUCACCUUUGCACUUCUCUGUGAUUCCUGUGAAACUUGGGUAAUGUACCCGAAGGACUGAGUGUGUUUCUUGUGUAGAUGCGAGCUCGACAGGAUUAAAAAAAACAACAACUGUGGAUUGUGACACGUGGGAUCACAGUGAAAGGAUGUGUGAUUCUUAUUCCACAAAGUUUAUCGUUUUAUAAAUCGCUGAAAUAACAUAGUUGCCUGAGUGUUCUGCCACUAAACGAUCAAGUUUGUGCCAAUAAUUAUUAGUAAAUCCUUUCUAUGUUUAAUUCAUUCCAGUGUGCACUUCACGAGUGUACUAGCUCUUCUCCGUUGUCAUGGCAACGCUUUUGAGUAUCAGUCAAGAGUAUUAAGAGGACGUGUGUACACAUUACUUACUACUGACUGAUCUCCCUUUGCCCUGUGAUAUGAGUUUUCACGUGUGAUUUUGUUGUUUGUGACUGGCGGAGGAGUGGCUCUCGUGUCUGGGUUCACCAGGUGCGUGUAGUUCAUCUACUGUUUGUUAUUGUAGCUCAGCAGCUUAGACAGGCUCAGUCAUGGAACACUCCGACAUCAAGCAGACGUGUCCAUCUCUGUGUGACUACUUCCUGUCAGCACCGGAUGGAACUACCCAACUUAAACUGCAGGUUCUCCUACUUCUCCAAGAUGUCACCUGAGCAGGAGGCGACAGACGGGGGCGAGAGCCUCAACUCCCAGGUGUCGUGGACUGAGCUGAAGCCCAUGAUGACACAGAUGGACCGUCUGCUGGAAGACCACUACCAUCCAAAGAACAGUCGCAAGGUUACCUUACAGGUGAAGGUUUACAACUUCCUGGAACGUCCAACUGGCUGGAAGUGCUUCAUCUAUCACUUCACUGUGUUCAUGAUGGUCCUCAUCUGCUUGAUCUUCAGUGUGCUGUCCACCAUAGAGCAGUACAUGGACUUUGCUAACGAAACGCUGUUUUGGAUGGAGAUCGUCUUGGUUGUGUUUUUCGGUCUGGAGUACGUCAUCCGCCUGUGGGCAGCGGGCUGCCGCAGCAAGUACAUGGGCCUGCGAGGCCGCUUCCGGUUCUCCCGGAAGCCCAUCUCCAUAAUUGAUUUUGCCGUCGUGCUUGCAUCUAUAGUUGUCCUGUCUGUGGGUUCCAACGGACAGGUGUUUGCCACCUCUGCCAUCAGAGGCGUUCGCUUCCUGCAGAUUCUGCGCAUGCUGCAUGUCGAUCGGCAGGGCGGCACGUGGCGCCUCCUGGGCUCCGUGGUGUAUAUACACAGACAGGAGCUGAUAACAACAUUGUACAUAGGAUUUCUAGGACUUAUCUUCUCCUCCUACUUUGUCUACCUGGCUGAGAAGGAGAACGGGGAGGACUUCACAAGCUAUGCAGAUGCCCUUUGGUGGGGUGUGAUAACCGUGACGACUAUCGGGUAUGGCGACACGGUACCCAAGACUUGGAUGGGAAGGAUCGUUGCUUCGUGUUUCUCUGUCUUCGCCAUCUCCUUCUUCGCUUUACCUGCGGGUAUCCUGGGCUCCGGCUUCGCUCUUAAAGUUCAACAGAAGCAGCGGCAGAAACACUUCAACAGACAGAUCCCAACUGCCGCUAAUUUGAUACAGUGUCUAUGGCGAUGCCAUGCCGCAGACCCAUCGUUCAAUUCAGUGGCGACAUGGAAAAUACACAUCCAGGAGAAAAAUCACAAAGUGACCAUGCCAUCUUCCAACUCAUCGUCCGCUCUGUCCCGGAUGGCCAGAAAAGCCAGUUUACUGAAAAAACGCAAGAUGGGGAGGAACACACCCCACCCGCUUGAAAGACAAGAAAGUAUGUCUUCACUCUCAGGGGUAGAGAACUCUAAGUACCCUGACAUGAUGGAGACCUUUCUGGAGGACGACACCGAUUAUAACAUCUACAAGCCAGAGCAGCUUACGGAAGCCCACAAGCUAAUGAUACGAGUCAUCAGGAAAAUAAAAUUUUUCGUAGCGAGGAGAAAAUUUCAGCUCGCAAACCUUACGAUGUACGGGAUGUGAUCGAACAGUAUUCCCAGGGCCACCUCAACAUGAUGGUCCGCAUCAAAGAGCUUCAGAGGAGACUGGACCAAACCAUCGGCAAGCCCAUGUACCAGGGCAACGCCAAGGACCGCGAGCGGCUGACGCUGUGCGCGCGAAUAGCUCGGGUGGAAAACCAG
rnacentral:misc_RNA from 1 species